GCCGCCAUAGCUCAGUCUGGUAGAGCACCGAUGCAAAUCGGGUGUCGUUGGUUCGAAUCCAUCUGGCGGCU
rnacentral:tRNA from 1 species